GGAGCGCAAGCUCAGUGAAAACCUGGGAAAUCUAACUGGAAACACGAGAGAGCGCUUUAUUUGGCAGUGCUAAAAAAACCUGGGGACAAAUGGCUGAGCGGCGGUGGAAGUGCAGGCUGCACAAUCAAUCGGCAGAGAGCCGGAUAGAGGCUCCCUCCGCUGCCGGAUCGACAAUCGACAGCUGAGAGACUAUUUUUUGCAAUGGUUGACUAAAUAUGGUCAGGGAAGAGAGAGGCACAAGAGAGCCUGUUUGCCUGGGAGUGCAUGUUUCAAAUGCUUAGCUGCCUAUAAAGCCGUAACAGUUUUGCUCGUGCCCUCUAAGUGGGAAAUACGGUUAGUGUCUUCUGUAGUGUGCGUGUGGGAGCCCUGACCUCGCUAGCAGACUUGACCUCUGAAGAUGGAAAGUAGCUUCAACACAGACCUGCCUACAGUUAAGCCUGGAAACAUAACCUCAAGCAAGAAAAGAUGCAGUGCAAUAUCUAAGGAACUAGAAGAAACCAAUAUUUGCCGGGGGUGGGGGGAGACGAUCGCGCUUUUUUUGUGCCUUUUUCUUUUUUUUGGAAGCAACUCCAACUUUUGGGGGCUUGGUUUUGGUUUUUUGUUGGGUUUUUAUUUUACUUUUUGCCUGCGAUUAUUUUCAUCUGACAGUGGGCUAAGUUCACCUUCCCUUGGCUUCCUAGCAUCUAUCCUUGGAGUCUUAACUCUCAGUCCAGCAGACAUAAGGUAUAAUUUCUAUACAACAUCAUCCAUAUUUUAGCAUUCCAAGAAAGGCAGCAGGUGCCAAUUAGGCACCCGUCUUCAUGCUUUUUUUUUUUCUUUUAAGUUUUAUCUAUUUAAGGUGGUGAGGUACUGUAUGCACCGACAUUCACCCCCCCUUGCCUCCCCCUCCCAUGUAAUGAAGAGCUGAUUCAGCGAAUAGAGUGAGAGAGCACUCAGGAUGAGAUGGCUGCUGCUGAUGUGUCUCUAGGUCAUUACCUCUCUGCCAACUGCAAAUGCUGCAUGAUACUAAGCUUACAGGACACUAGAUGCAAACUGUACACCAGCUAGAAGACCUGGGAGGAAGCUGAAGUUUUUACAGUGGAAUACAACUACAAAUUCCAAGAAAACACAUUGCAAAGCUACCAGCGAUUCAACUCUCCACUCAAACGUGGUCACUCAGAGUGAACAGCAAGAGGCUGCAAAAAACUGGAAAAGCACUUCUAAAGUCCAUGCCAUCCCAGAACAAUGAACUAUAACCAGCUUUAAGCCACUGUGCAGGUAAAUUGCAUUGCAAAGUUCAGUUAGAGUAAGUUUUAUUUUCUACCAUCAGUUAAUCAUAACAUUGUUCUACCCAAGAAUUGUCAGCCUGAGUUUUACCUAAUGACAGCGAGGGAAAGCAGCAAAAUACUUUUCAGGUUCAUCUGACAGGUAGUCGAGCAACUCUGUGUACCUGCUCAGAGUACAUACUUCUUUAUGUACCCAUAUGAACAUACAAUGCUAUGGAAUGUAAAGAAGUAUGUAUUUUUGGCAGGCACGGAACGACCAGUAAGAGGAAACUAAACAGCUGUUGGAAGAAACAGGUUUCCCUCUUGUUUGAAUGACAUUCAUGUGACAAAUUAGCUUGCUAAGGGUCAGCUGGUAUUGCCAAAAUAACUCAUACUUGUUAGUAACAAAUCACAAAACAUUAAAUUAAGUGACUAUAACAGUGGGUAGGAAGAAUUGUUCACAGCUGAUAAACAGAACAUUAGUUGUAAACAAAGAAUUCAAAACAAGGCUGGAAAUGAACCCUUGAAAUGCACCAAUUAAGAUUGCAGCAUAGCUGCAAAAUUUAUCAUUAUCAGUACUCCUCACUUAAUAGAUCCUAAACUAAUCUUAAAAGCCUGAUUAUCAAAACAUAUCUCAUCAAAAACAAGCCAUUGUUCUACUAAUCACAGCCAGUUCUGUGUACUUCAGAUGGUAAUAUUUAAAUUUACAUCUACCAUAGAAUAUUUAAUCUACAGGUUGCAACUAAGACACAAGUAGAAACAGCUCAGAAAUUAAGGCUGUGAUUUAGAGAAACGGAUAGCCAAAAUAAUUGAGUAUGAUAACUUCUGCAAUUUAAUAUAUGAGACUUAAGUUAGAAUUUUCUCCAAAUCAGCACUUAUUACGCUCACUGAGCUCUUCGACACAAAGUGCAGUGUCAGGUUUAUGCACAGAAAGUGACAAUACAGAGAUUUCUAGGCCACAGUUGCUAGUCAGCGGAUUAAAGCUAUUGACAGAUUCCUAAAUGAAAACACAAAUGACAACUACAACCUAAAAGGUAAGUUAUCUUAAAUACUAUUUUCAAAUAAGCUGAAUUUAUUUUAAAUACAAAUUUAAGAAAAUUGGCCAUGAAAAUAUGACUUUGUAGCAUCCAGAAAAUUGUAAGAACUACAUAAGAAAUAGUCCUGCAACAGUUUCAAGUUCUAAAAGUGGUAUUAAUUAAAAUAUACCGGCAUAUACCAUCCCUAAGUAAAAGACACUCAACAUCAAAUUCAGGAACAAGGAAAAAUAUGAGUAAAGACCUCCUGGCUCAUCAAUCCAGCCAUUCCUAUUCAUGACAGCAGCCUUCUAAAGGCAGUUAUUAAAUAGGAUACGUCCAGAAUAAAUAGGCACAUUUGGCCUAGAUUAAAGAUUCUAACUGUACCCCUGUGCUUACUAAAAUGUCUAGGAGAAAAAAACCAAGAAAAAUAAAAAAGGAAAUGCACAAUUUUUAGAUGGAGAAUCUUAUUUUUAAAUACUCACAUAAUUCUCAAGUAUUUAAUAGUCUACAUAGCCUGCUAUUUUUAUUACCUAAAACUACAGAACAUACAUACAAGAAACAUUAUCUUAUCAGAACCAUUUUCUUAAGUAAAAUAUUAAUAUUUUGUUUAAAAGCUACUUCUGAGAAGAUAUUUUGGCAUGAAGACUACACUAUCUUAACAUCUAAAUUGAACCCUGGUUUACAGUAGGAAACAAAUCAAAUUGUAGUAGCUUUUCUAAAUGGAGCAAUGCUACUGAACUUGAUCAUGCUCAUAGAAGCAAUUUGGUAUUACUAACAGCUUUACAGAGGGGUUAAAUGCUAAGCAUUUACUUCUUUUCCUGAAGAGUUCCUGUCCUCACCACCAAUUGAUUUGGCUUCCACUAUAUAAUGAGACCAACUUUUUAACAGCUUAAAUUUAUUUUGAAAGGUUUUUGGUAGCAAUUCAUCAUGUUGUGUUCUUUCUUGUCUUCUUUGUAUAACAUUGCAAUGCUAUUCCGAAACAAAGUGACAGUUCAGAGUGAUACAAAAGUUAAAAUUAUAUGUUGACAUUGCUUCCUGCUAGUUCAUGUUAGCAUAUCUCUAAGAAUACAUAUCCAGUCACUCCAAAAUGUCACAUCCAUCACUUAGAUCAGCUGUUCAAUUUUAACUGAGCACACGUUGAACUUUGGGCAUCUGCUGACACAGUUGUAACUCAAACAUUUCAACUGUGUGACUGACAGGGAUAACAGAUGCUGACAUUAUCAAAUGCUACACGGCUUUUUUUCCACGGCCGUUUUUUGUCCCGAUAUGGCCAGUACAUGAAACUCUAUUGCCAUCCAAAAGCGCACUUGAGCAGCUGUAUCUGUAAAACAGUUCCUGUAUAACUGGUAAAAAUAGAAACUAAUUUUAUAGCCAUCUUAAUGCUUAAGUCCAAGUGACACACCUGCUAUGUUUCUAUUAGGAUACAUAGUGUUGGGAAUGUAUUUACAUAAAUCUUCUCACCAGCAUCAGACUACGCAACAAACAGAUGUAGACUAUACUUGACAUACUCAUUACUAGUGAAUGGCUUGAACUAAGGUUGCCCCCUACUUCCCACCGCAGUCAAAGCUCAAAAAAGAAUUCAGCAUACAACAUUAAAAAAAGCUAUGUGAGCAUGCACAAAUGUAUUAAAGAGCUUAAUUUCGAAGAAAUCAGAUGCAACCCCAGAUAAUUCUUUAAAAGCUGUAUUUUUCUGGCAUUAAACAUUUUUACAUGUACUAUCGGGGUAAAAAAAAAAAAAAAUCUAUCCUGCUAUAUUAUAUAAUCAUUCCUAAAAAGUUAAUACUAACCAGAGAUACAGUAAUGGAAUUGAAAGCACUUGACAUUUAUACUUGUGCUAACCAACUACAGCAUUAAAGCAGCUGCAAAAGGGAAACUGCCAAAAAAUGAAUGGGGGGAGUGUGGGGGGAAACCGAAACCUUCUUCCCCAGUAAAGUUUAACAUGAAGAGGCAAGGGAGCUCUACAUGAGUAGAAGUUGUAAGACUACAGUUUCUGGUCACUACUCUAGAAUUUCAUUAUUGCAGACAGAAAAAAGUUAAAACUGUAAUUAUAAUUUGAUUUGAGACUCAUCCAAAGAUCCUCAAGGAAAUACUCGAGAAAGGAACAAACCUGGAUACUGUACAGGCCUUGCUGGUAUACAGCUUUCCAUUCUGCCGUCUCCAAAUUAGUGAAGGAAUUUAAAUUUGCAUUGACUAGAAACAAAACAUGUAACACAGAAGAAAGCCACAUGUUUUUUGAACUGUUCAUGUACUUAAAAAUGCAUUACUGAAUUAUAACCUUCCUGCACUCCAAUGCUUUGCUAAAGCUGGUAAAAUGGAACCAAAUCACCUCUUCAAUGGAUUUGGUCCCCUUCAACCAGCUGUAGCUAUGCAUUGAUCACUACAGGAUUUCUCCUAUUUUUAAAACUGGACAUUAAGUCUGCUCAGAGUAAUUACGCAGUCCUCUCUACAGUUGAGUUCAACUAUUCUAGGCACCUUGAAGAUGGAAGGUAACAAGGAAUGUAGCAAAUUCUGCAUUUCAAAAUUUCAAGGUUUUAUUUGUAAAUAAACAGCUACUGGUGUUCAACAUUCUGUCCACAUUCAGUGGAAACUGAUCUCUUACAACAUUUAUAAAGACAACAGGUAAACAGUGAAAUAAACACAUUUUCCAAUGA